rnacentral:rRNA from 1 species
AUUGAACGCUGGCGGCAGGCCUAACACAUGCAAGUCGAGCGGAUGAAGGGAGCUUGCUCCUGGAUUCAGCGGCGGACGGGUGAGUAAUGCCUAGGAAUCUGCCUGGUAGUGGGGGAUAACGUCCGGAAACGGGCGCUAAUACCGCAUACGUCCUGAGGGAGAAAGUGGGGGAUCUUCGGACCUCACGCUAUCAGAUGAGCCUAGGUCGGAUUAGCUAGUUGGUGGGGUAAAGGCCUACCAAGGCGACGAUCCGUAACUGGUCUGAGAGGAUGAUCAGUCACACUGGAACUGAGACACGGUCCAGACUCCUACGGGAGGCAGCAGUGGGGAAUAUUGGACAAUGGGCGAAAGCCUGAUCCAGCCAUGCCGCGUGUGUGAAGAAGGUCUUCGGAUUGUAAAGCACUUUAAGUUGGGAGGAAGGGCAGUAAGUUAAUCCCUUGCUGUUUUGACGUUACCAACAGAAUAAGCACCGGCUAACUUCGUG